GAUGAACGCUAGCGGGAGGCCUAACACAUGCAAGCCGAGCGGUAUUGUUUCUUCGGUAUUGCGAGAGCGGCGUACGGGUGCGUAACACGUGUGCAACCUGCCUUUAUCUGUGGGAUAGCCUUUCGAAAGGAAGAUGAAUACUCCAUAAUAUAUUGAACGUCAUAGAUUAAUAUUGAAAGCUCCGGCGGCUAGUGAUGGGCACGCGCAAGAUUAGCUAGUUGGUGAGGUAACUGCUCACCAAGGCGAUGAUCUAUAGGGGGACGGAGAGGGUGAUCCCCCACACUGGUACUGGGACACGGACCAGACUCCUACGGGAGGCAGCAGUGAGGAAUAUUGGUCAGUGAGUGCGAGCCUGAACCAGCCAGCCCGCGUGAAGGACGACUGCCCUAUGGGUUGUAAACUUCUUUUGUAUAGGGAGAAACCUACCCACGAGAGAGUAGCUGAAGGUACUAAACGAAUAAGCACCGGCUAACUCCGUG
rnacentral:rRNA from 1 species